UACGAAGGGGGCGAGCGUUGUUCGGAUUUACUGGGCGUAAAGGGCGCGCAGGCGGCUCAUUUUGUCAGGCGUGAAAGCCCCGGGACUUAACCUGGGAGGUGCGGUUUGAUACGGAUGGGCUAGAGUUCGGGAGAGGAGAGGUGGAAUUCCCAGUGUAGAGGUGAAAUUCGUAGAUAUUGGGAAGAACACCGGUGGCGAAGGCGGCUCUCUGGACCGAGACUGACGCUGAGGCGGCGAAAAGCGUGGGGAGCCAAACAGGG
rnacentral:rRNA from 1 species